UACGUAGGGAGCAAGCGUUGUCCGGAAUCAUUGGGCGUAAAGCGCGCGUAGGUGGCCCCAUAAGUCCGCUGUGAAAGUCAAAGGCUCAACCUUUGAAAGCCGGUGGAUACUGUGGGACUAGAGUACGGAAGAGGCGAGUGGAAUUCCUGGUGUAGCGGUGGAAUGCGCAGAUAUUGGGAAGAACACCGGUGGCGAAGGCGGCGACCUGGUCCUUUUACUGACGCUGAGGCGCGAAAGCGUGGGGAGCAAACAGG
rnacentral:rRNA from 1 species